AUACGGAGGAUCCGAGCGUUAUCCGGAUUUAUUGGGUUUAAAGGGAGCGUAGGUGGAUUGUUAAGUCAGUUGUGAAAGUUUGUGGCUCAACCGUAAAAUUGCAGUUGAAACUGGCAGUCUUGAGUACAGUAGAGGUGGGCGGAAUUCGUGGUGUAGCGGUGAAAUGCUUAGAUAUCACGAAGAACUCCGAUUGCGAAGGCAGCUCACUAGACUGUUACUGACACUGAUGCCCGAAAGUGUGGGUAUCAAACAGGAUUAGAUACCCUGGUAGUCCACACAGUAAACGAUGAAUACUCGCUGUUUGCGAUAUACAGUAAGCGGCCAAGCGAAAGCAUUAAGUAUUCCACCUGGGGAGUACGCCGGCAACGGUGAAACUCAAAGGAAUUGACGGGG
rnacentral:rRNA from 1 species